rnacentral:rRNA from 1 species
UACGUAGGGUGCGAGCGUUAAUCGGAAUUACUGGGCGUAAAGCGUGCGCAGGCGGUUCGCUGUGUCCUGUGUGAAAGCCCCGGGCUUAACCUGGGAAUGGCAUGGGAAACUGGCGAGCUUGAGUGCGGCAGAGGGGGGUGGAAUUCCGCGUGUAGCAGUGAAAUGCGCAGAUAUCAGGAAGAACACCCGUGGCGAAGGCGGCUCUCUGGGACGUGACUGACGCUGAGACGCGAAAGCGUGGGGAGCAAACAGG